CGAACGGGUGAGUAACACGUGAGGAACCUGCCCCGGGCACCGGGAUAACGGCGGGAAACCGCCGCUAAUACCGGAUAUCCUCCUCCAACCGCAUGGCGGGAGGAGCAAAGGCCUGCUGGCCCGGGAUGGUCUCGCGGCCCAUCAGCUUGUUGGCGGGGUAACGGCCCACCAAGGCAGCGACGGGUAGCUGGUGUGAGAGCAUGACCAGCCACACUGGGACUGAGACACGGCCCAG
rnacentral:rRNA from 1 species